ACAGAGGGUGCAAGCGUUAAUCGGAGUUACUGGGCGUAAAGGGCGCGUAGGCGGACUGCCAAGUCCGGGGUGAAAUCUUUCGGCUCAACCGGAAAAUAGCCUCGGAGACUGGCGGUCUAGAGGGGGGUAGGGGCAGCUGGAACUUCCGGUGGAGCGGUGAAAUGCGUUGAUAUCGGAAGGAACGCCGGUGGCGAAAGCGAGCUGCUGGACCUUUUCUGACGCUGAGGCGCGAAAGCCAGGGGAGCAAACGGGA
rnacentral:rRNA from 1 species